AGUGAACGCUGGCGGUAGGCCUAACACAUGCAAGUCGAACGGCAGCACAGUAAGAGCUUGCUCUUACGGGUGGCGAGUGGCGGACGGGUGAGGAAUACAUCGGACUCUACUUUUUCGUGGGGGAUAACGUAGGGAAACUUACGCCAAUACCGCAUACGACCUACGGGUGAAAGCAGGGGAUCUUCGGACCUUGCGCGAUUGAAUGAGCCGAUGUCGGAUUAGCUAGUUGGCGGGGUAAAGGCCCACCAAGGCGACGAUCCGUAGCUGGUCUGAGAGGAUGAUCAGCCACACUGGAACUGAGACACGGUCCAGACUCCUACGGGAGGCAGCAGUGGGGAAUAUUGGACAAUGGGCGCAAGCCUGAUCCAGCCAUACCGCGUGGGUGAAGAAGGCCUUCGGGUUGUAAAGCCCUUUUGUUGGGAAAGAAAAGCAGCAGGUUAAUACCCCGCUGUUCUGACGGUACCCAAAGAAUAAGCACCGGCUAACUUCGUG
rnacentral:rRNA from 1 species